UUUCCAUGAUCGAAUCUGGAUUCGACACGUAGAUAGCGCAACGGUGUCGAUAAGCACAGACCUUUUGGUCGAUACAAGUAACCCCUAUGAUGUGCCACAAACUGUGGCAAAGACUGCCUGUGUACCUGCAAAUGCUAGUCAGCCUCUGUUUUUUUAUUGGACUCUAGACAACAACACUUCACAAUCAUAUGUAUACAUGCAUUUCGCUGAAAUCCAGACUCUUAAGGAUGGUGAGAUCAGAGAAUUCAACAUUACUUAUAAUGGUGGCCAGAAUGUGUACUCCUAUUUUAGGCCUGAUAAACUCGAGAUAUCAACUCUAUUCCGUUCAACACCUUUGAGUUCUCCGGAUGGAAAUUUCAGUUUCUCUUUCACGAAGACCGGUAACUCAACUCUUCCUCCUCUUAUCAACGGUCUUGAGAUUUAUAAAGGCUUAGACCUUCUAGAACUCGAGACAGAUCAAGAUGAAGGCAAGUUAAGCAUGUUCUUAAACCCAUUAUUUUACAAAAAACUUCUGUCUUUUAAACUGGUUUUUGAAAUGUGAUGAUUGAUCAGUUUCUGCUAUGGUAAACAUCAAGGCAACGUAUGAUUUGAGCAAAAAGGUUAGCUGGGAAGGAGAUCCAUGUGCUCCUCAGUCUUAUCGAUGGGAAGGUCUAAACUGUAGUUAUCCAAACUCUGAUCAACCUCGGAUCAUAUCCUUGAACUUGGCAGAGAACAAGUUGACUAGUACCAUAACACCUGAAAUAUCCAAGCUAACAAAUUUGAUAGAGCUAGAUUUGUCAAAAAAUGAUUUAUCAGGAGAAAUUCCAGCGUUUUUUGCUGAUAUGUGUAAGUGCGGAUGAGGUAAGAUAAAUUGCAGAAAGUAAACGAGACAAGAAAUUUGUUAACGAGGUUCGGUUUUUCCUACUCCCCGGGACCAAGUCCAGAUUCGAUUUCACUAGAACAAGAAAGCAAAUUACAACCAAUUCGCAAACGCGUAAAACAAGCCCAACCCUCAUGAUUUACCGCUCCCUUCUAUAACGUGAAACCUUAAAGAUAAAUCUCUACCCUUAACUAAACUCUCCUGAGCCUAGAUUUAAUCAGGAUAACCUAACCCUGAGCUAAACUCCCCCUGAGUCUAGACUUUAAUUCUCCAAAGUUUCUCGAACGACCACCACACACGAAUCGUCACACCAACGAACCCAAUGGUCACCAAAACUCUCCAAAAAGAACCUUCAACACCAACACACAAAUAAGCUUGAUCACACAAGCAUUUAACCCGCGAAACUACGUCGCACACGAUCACACACACAAUCUCUCACAUCGAAUCUCCUUGGGAUUUUUACUCUUGCAAAUCCACAUUCUCAUAAGGUCACGUCCCCCUUAUAUAACAAAAAGAAACUUGCGCCUCAAGCUCUUCCAAUCACACAUAAGAGAAAGUUUCCAAAUCCCAUAAGGAAAAGGUUUUCCUUUUUGUCAAUUUCCU